GCCACUGUAGCUCAGCGGUAGAGCAACUGAUUCGUAAUCAGUAGGCCGAGGGUUCGAUCCCCUCCAGUGGCU
rnacentral:tRNA from 1 species